ACUAUUUUGUGGUUCCUAAAGCAUGACUGGGUGUUCAUGUGCAGGUGUGAGAUGUGCCUCCCUCAAACCUUAUUAUGAUAUGGGCACAAUACCUAUCUGAUU